AUGGAUUCCAUCUUGGCGAAUGAAACUUGGGAGAUAACUGAUCGUCCUUAUGGGUGCAAACCUAUAGGAUGCAAAUGGGUAUUCAAGAAGAAACUUAGGCCUGAUGGCUUUGUUGUGAACGAAGCUGACAAAUGUGUGUACUAUCGCCAUGGUGGGGGCAAGGGAGUUAUGCUUUGCUUGUAUGUUGAUGACAUACUGAUUUUCGGAACAAAUCUGAAUGUUCUUAAGGAGGUCAAGGAUUUCCUAUCUUGCUGUUUUGAGAUGAAGGAUUUAGGAGUGGCUGAUGUCAUUCUGAACAUCAAGUUGUUGAGAGAUGAUGAUGGUGGGAUUACAUUGCUUCAAUCUCACUAUGUGGAAAAGAUCUUGAGCCGCUUUGGCUACAGUGACUGCACUGCAAAUUAUGGAAUUCACUACACUUGGCAUCCAAAGGUGCUUGAAGGGUAUAGUGACUCAAACUGGAUCUCAGAUGCUGAUGAGAUAAAGGCCACGAGCGGUUAUGUAUUCACUCAUGGAGGUGGCGCUGUUUCUUGGAAGUCUUGCAAGCAGACCAUCUUAAUGAGGUCAACAAUGGAAGCAGAACUCACAACACUAGAUACAGGUACGGUCGAAGCAGAUUGGCUUCGUCGGCUCUUGAAUGACUUACCGGUAGUUGAGAAACCUGUACCGGGUAUCCGGAUGAACUGUGACAAUCAAACUGUGAUCACUAAAGUGAGCAACUCAAAGGAUAACAUGAAG
rnacentral:rRNA from 1 species